ACUGGUUCACCACAGGGGUAGGAAGAGGACCGGCGUAUUCAGGCAGGAUUUGGUUCUCAUUUUGCUCUUGGCUCUUGGGGUGGAAAAAUCGAAGCAUUCCCGCUCAGCUCAGCUCAGCGCUGCAGAGGCAGAGAGGCUCUCUGCAGCGAGGAGCCCAACCACUUUCUCUGGAAUCUGCUGCCUCGGCGGGCUUUCCGAUGGAGCCACCAUCUGGACUGUAUUAUGGGCCGGGGAGAAGGCAGAGAGCGGGAACACCGAGCUGGCCCCAGGCUCCAGUCUGCAGUGGCCUACAGAUGCUUAUGUAGAGCCCCAUUGGAAACCGCUCAUCGCCCAGAAAGGACCCUGGACCCUCAUCUCCCUGCUGCCUCGGAGGUGCAGUUUACCGGGGGCAGCCAUCUCUUGUCUUCUCUCCUGCCCUGAGAUCUCUCCUGGAUAAGACGGUGCAAGGCCUGCUGUGGCCCGGGCCUCCGUGUUCCCUCGUGGCCUCGGUGGAGUUUCCAGAUGGAAUCAAGUGGAUGCCAAAGACCCAGAGAGGGGCUGGAGAGAUGGCUUAGUGGUUAAGCACUUGCCUGUGAAGCCUAAGGACCCUGGUUCAAGGCUCGAUUCCCCAGGACCCACGUU